ensembl:miRNA
UGUUCACCAGUGUGCGUGCGUGUGCGUGCGUGCACGUGCACACACACAUGCACACACACACACACACACACACACACACACACACACACACA